GAUGAACGCUGGCGGCGUGCCUAAUACAUGCAAGUCGAGCGAACAGACGAGGAGCUUGCUCCUCUGACGUUAGCGGCGGACGGGUGAGUAACACGUGGAUAACCUACCUAUAAGACUGGGAUAACUUCGGGAAACCGGAGCUAAUACCGGAUAAUAUAUUGAACCGCAUGGUGCAAUAGUGAGAGACGGUUUUGCUGUCACUUAUAGAUGGAUCCGCGCCGCAUUAGCUAGUUGGUAAGGUAACGGCUUACCAAGGCAACGAUGCGUAGCCGACCUGAGAGGGUGAUCGGCCACACUGGAACUGAGACACGGUCCAGACUCCUACGGGAGGCAGCAGUAGGGAAUCUUCCGCAAUGGGCGAAAGCUUGACGGAGCAACGCCGCGUGAGUGAUGAAGGUCUUCGGAUCGUAAACCUCUGUUAUUAGGGAAGAACAAAUGUGUAAGUAACUAUGCACGUCUUGACGGUACCUAAUCAGAAAGCCACGGCUAACUACGUG
rnacentral:rRNA from 1 species